AUUGAACGCUGGCGGCAGGCCUAACACAUGCAAGUCGAGCGGAUGAAGGGAGCUUGCUCCUGGAUUCAGCGGCGGACGGGAGAGUAAUGCCUAGGAAUCUGCCUGGUAGUGGGGGAUAACGUCCGGAAACGGGCGCUAAUACCGAAUACGUCCUGAGGGAGAAAGUGGGGGAUCUUCGGACCUCACGCUAUCAGAUGAGCCUAGGUCGGAUUAGCUAGUUGGUGGGGUAAAGGCCUACCAAGGCGACGAUCCGUAACUGGUCUGAGAGGAUGAUCAGUCACACUGGGACUGAGACACGGUACAGACUCCUACGGGAGGCAGCAGUGGGGAAUAUUGGACAAUGGGCGAAAGCCUGAUCCAGCCAUGCCGCGUGUGUGAAGAAGGUCUUCGGAUUGUAAAGCACUUUAAGUUGUGAGGAAGGGCAGUAAGUUAAUACCUUGCUGUUUUGACGUUACCAACAGAAUAAGCACCGGCUAACUUCGUG
rnacentral:rRNA from 1 species